CCCCUAGAUGUUCUGGGCCGCACGCGCGCUACACUGACUGGUGCAACAAGUGUCGCUCCUUGGCCGAUAGGCCUGGGCAAUCUUUGAACGCCAGUCGUGAUGGGGAUAGAUUCUUGCAAUUUUUGAUCUUCAACGAGGAAUUCCUAGUAAACGCGAGUCAUCAACUCGCAUUGAUUACGUCCCUGCCCUUUGUACACACCGCCCGUCGCACCUACCGAUUGAAUGGUCCGGUGAACCCUCCGGAUCGGCUCGCGCCAACGCAAGUUGAGCAAAGGCCGAGAAGUUGGGUAAACCUUACCAUUUAGAGGAAGGUGAAGUCGUAACA
rnacentral:rRNA from 1 species